CUGCCUGUAGAAGGAGAAGGGCCUGGCUGUAGGGAGCUAGACAAGAAUUUUCAGAAGGAGGUGUUUCCACUAAUGGGCCAUAACAGUGCCUGGCCCAAAGAAAGAAAGCUUUCCGAGAUCAGGAGAUUAUCCGCCUCUCCUUCUGUCUGAUUUGGCUGUUGUUUGGGUUCCAGUAUUUUGUCCUACAUUUCAGAAAAGUGAGGCCUUUCCAUACAAAGAACAUUGGUAUGUGUACAUGUGAAGGAGGAAUAUGGGGACCCUGUUGACAAUAAUUCUGAGGAAUAGCAUUUUAAACCCUUUUAUACUACAUGCAAUAAAAUACAUAGUUGUAACUAUACCAAGAUUUAUUUCAAGAUAACAAAGCAGUAUGAGAAGAUCAAAAUUGUCCACUUACACUGGCAUUGAGAGGCAGCUGGAUCCUAACUCAAGGAACAGCUUUCUUUUGACUGUGUUAAUUCUUGAUGCUUAUGUAUGCUCUGCAUGAAUUACAGUGUUAACAACUCGAACUUACCCAUUGAAUCAGGUGGCAUCUGUUUUGCAUGGGGCUGGGAGCAGAUUGAUCUAACAGCAACUCUUUUUUUCUCCUUUAGUCUUCUUUUUCUUCUCUUCUCUCUUUUUUUGAAGAUAGUAAUAAAAUAAAUGGACAGAAGUUGCAUAACAGCAUAAAUAGUAUGACUGUUUCAAAACCCUUUUGUGUUUGGCAAGCGUAGACAGGGCAAAGCAAGAGAGUAUGCCAAAAAUUGUGUUUACGACAAGUGGAGUGAGCAAAACUCUUCCUGCUGUUCCAUUUCUCCUGGGACAAGAGUGCAAAGCCAGUCCAAACUGAUCUGAUUGGAAAUAAGAAAGAUCUUCCGUUUCAGCAGGGUCUCCAGUGAAAGAGUACCUGUGUGGUCAUGAACUGCUUUCUUGUAGCAUAUUGUGUACUGUACUGCUCGUAUCUGAAACCCAUCCAGCAGUAACAUGGGCUUGGCAGUCUCAUUUUGAAACUUUCUGUCAACAAGAUGUCUUUGGAAGGGGGAAACCAACAAGAAAUUAUAUUUGUCACACGCUGCUGAGAUAAGGGGAUCUUGGCAAUUAUUGAGUGAUAGAUUGCUGCCCUAAACCCUUAAUUUCAUGCUCUUUUUCUGUACUGUGGUUUUGUUCCAAUUGGCUCCUUGCCUUGGAAUCUACUAAGCACUGCUAGGUUAAAUGUGAUAGACAGCCCAUAGCAAAAGCAAUCAGUUAUUUUGACAGCUCAGAAGAGGUCAGGGACACUUCCCAAAGCUGGUGUGGUGAGUCUUCAGCACUCUGAGGCAAAAAGUAGGCAUGACUCUUCUUUUGAUUGACUUGCACAUUCUUCUGUAUCCCUCUCCUUCUCCUCCCCCUCACAGUCCUAGCCAGCUUUGGCUAGAGAAGCAGUCUCAAGGCACCUAUAAUAUUUUCUUCAUUGUACAACAUCAGGGUACUGUGUUUCUAAU